GUGCUUGCUUUGGCAGCAUAUAUGCUAAAAUUGGAAUGAUACAGAAAAGAUUAGCAUGGCCCCUGCACAGGAUGACAUGCAAAUUUGUGAAGUGUUCCAUAUUUUU
rnacentral:snRNA from 1 species